rnacentral:misc_RNA from 1 species
CCACCGGCUCCACCCUCCAGCGACCGCCGCAGCUGCUGUACACCACCCUGUGUGCUGCUGCUCUUGCUCUUGCUCCUGCCGCUUCCAACUACCACAGCGACGACUACGACGACGACGACGACGACGACUACGGCAACGCGGCGGCGGCGACUACGACACCGACACCGCCACCACUACCUCAACCGACGCGGCCGCGCUUCCUCGUCCACAUCAACCGCCGCGCUCCCGCGACCACCUCGGCCGUGCAACUCGUCGGCGGCAGUAGUAUCCGCGUCCCCGGACAUAACGUCCGCCCGCCGGUUGUGUCCGCUCGCGUCGUUUGCCGCGUAUAAUAUACAUACCUCCUGUAUACCAUACACGACGUGCUUUGAUCAACGUUAUGCCAUUAAACCCGUAGUGCUACAGUAUAUAUAUAGGAUAUAACUUCUGGCGAAAUUUUCUUUAUAUUAUAAGUGUGCGCAGGGCUCGUGUAAACACACGGACAACAGUUGUCUCGCGUGUGAGACCACAAUAAUUGUUUUCAACAGACCACGGUGACGGAGUGCAAGUUGUGUGUGUGUGCAAAAACCGUGAACGUAUUCUCCUUCCUUGUAUAUAUAUAUAUAUAUAUAUAUACACCUUUAUAUGUACAUUUAAUAUUUACACAUAAUAUUAUCCGUCCACAUUAUACACAAUAACACUGCACGUGCGAGAAAUAUCCGGCACUGCGUACCAUCGACUCUAAAUGAGUUACCGUCGGCUGCAACAGCGGCGUAGGAGGGCAAUCGUCUCGUGUUCCACAAAUACAUCGUUCCCCCGGUACACUGGCGGUGGCGGUACGACACCGGCGCGAACAGCGGCUUCAGAGGGUGGUAGGUAGAGCGUCUGCAUCAUCAGCGUCAUCAGCGGCGAUCUCGACGUAAUCGGCCGAGACAACCGGCGCGUUAUAUAUACAACGCACACUAUUGCUCACGACGCAACGCUCAGUGCUCAAUAUAAUAACUGUAACCGAAACAUUUUCAAUCUCAAAUACAUAAUUUAAAUAAAUCAAAAAUACAAUAAUAUAAAUAUUAUUAAUAUUGAGUGAGUAUAUAAUAUACAGGAAUAGUACGUAAUACACACAGCUGCGCCUUUGCAGUGCUUAUAAUAUAAUAUUCAUACCAAGCGUUUCGAUGGACAACCAAAACAACAGCACCACUACCACAUUCCUGCCGCCACCCAUCGACGGUGAGGCGUCGGCGCCGCUCGCGCAACCCGACGACGAUUUCGUGGUGCCCCUUUCAGCGGCCGGUACCCCCAAUACGCCGGCCGACGACGGUGGCACCGGAUCUACCGUGUCGCCCGUGUCUCCUGUCCACCUCAACCGUCAGCAACACGGCGCAUUGAUGAUGGACGACGACCAGGCGGCCAACACCGCCGCUGAUAGCGGUGCGACGGACGACAGCUCCGUGCUGUUGCCGCCGCCCGACGAGACGGACAACGAAGAGAAAUCAAACAAAGACAACGCGGACGACGAAGACAACGGUGGCGACAACAAUGACGAGGCCGCCGACGACGAUGAUCAGGUGCCGGUUCUGGCCAUGUCGGGCAUUCUACCGGCCACGGCUACUGGUGGUGGCCCGAUUUCCGACUCGAAGAAAACUUCUGGCGGACCGAACGACACGCUCACCGGCGGCGGAGCUGGGACCGGAAACGGAGAAAAUAAAUCCAAAGAAAAAACACGUUAUACGGCCGGCAGCGGCACAGGAACUGGAACGGAUGCGGAAGAUUCCGGAACAAGCAAUCCUCAGGCGGCUUUGGGAUGUGGGACUACGUUUGAAUACGUAGUACUGGUAACGGCGUGCUCAAUUCUGCUAUUGGCUGUUACCGGCACUACCAUUUACUGGACUAUGGCCUACCGAGGUGGAUACGACACCAAUUGGUUUCCCUGGCCACCACUGACUCCUAGGGAAAUGUUAUCUGGUGGAGUAUUUACUUACAAGCACCCACAAAACUUCACUACCGGCGGCAGCGACAUCAGUACGACAAUUACAACGACCACGGUCGAACAACAACAAUCUUCACAGUUGAACAUAUCGUCAUCAAACGUUUCAAUUGAAGAUCGGCGGUUCAACCUGCAUCCGACUUUGAUGACGAUCGGUUUGGUCACCUUAACCGGAUUCUCUAUAUUGGUGUACAGAAUGGCUGCUGGAUGUUCGACUUCGUGCAGGGGUACCUAUGUGAAAUUAACACACGUACUAUUGCAUAUAGCUACCGCACCAUGUAUAUUGUUGGGAGCUGUGGCCGCCAUGGAAUACCAUCGUUUAAAAGGCUUACCGCAUAUGUAUUCGUUGCACAGUUGGAUGGGAUUAUUGACAUUUAUACUUUUUACAAUUCAGUUCAUCCUUGGAUUUUUCACGUUCGUUUUACUGUUAUGUUGCCGUGGCGCAACGGCUGUGUGUCGCUUACGAUGUUUCGCGCCCAUACAUGCCACCCUGGGACUGUGCACGUUCACACUGGCCAUAGCUACCUGUCUCACCGGACUUCAGCAACGUGCCGACUUCUCGAUAUUCAGCAAUAAUAAUGGGCAACAACAGCAAAAACACCAUCAGCAACAGCAAACUACUCCGCCGCCGACGCCGUCGUCCUUAAAUUCGGGUGAACAUGGUCGCGCGUUGCCACAACAAGCUAUUAUCAACAUUAUAGGCGUGCUGUUGAUGAUUACCUUAGUGUUUGUCACAGCCACGUUGUUGUCUCAGAAGAAAUCCUGCAGGAGGAAUUCGUCGUCAUCAUUUUCACCGUCUACGAUGAGAUAUUGUCGAAAUGGCGGCCAAUCGUUCCAAUUGGUGCCGUCUUCGCCAGCUGCGGCGGACGGAUCGGAUCAUGGAGGCCGAAACGGCCGGAUGUGAUAAUUAAACUACUAUAUAAAUUGUUUUACGACGACGACCACGUUCCAACGACCGACCAGACACACUCGCACCACAUAUACAUCAUAAACAUAAUAUUAUUAUAUAUAAUAUAAAUAUCACAUUAUUAUAAAAUCUAUAUAGUCGACACACGCAACAACAUUACAGAUAGUACUCUAAGGUCAAUUGUAUUAUAAAGCACACUAUGUACAAAAUAUAACUUAUAAUACUAUAUNCAUUCGAACACCGAUCGAAAAGAUCGAAGUGCAGAAGUCGUAUAGCACCAAAACUCUCCAACCUCGAGUGACGGUGAUGACCGGACAUAAUAACAGGACAUACCCCAAAACGAGCGUUUCGACGCGGUUACAGUGACUUCCGACGGNGACACGGAAACCACGGGACAUGGUCUGAGAAAACAACUACCUAUUGCGAGACGGUGAACAGACAUUAUCCGAGUUGAUCAAAAAGAAGUUAUACUUGAACAAGGAGCCGGUAGUGGUUAAUGUAUUGGCCGUUUUGC